GCAUUUCCAACCUGACUGGGAGACAUUGUUUUCAGUUCUAUCCAUCUCUGGGGACUGUCCCCGUGGACAUCCUUGCCUCUGAUCCAGGCCCCUUGCUUUCUUCUGGAUUUACAAUUCUUCAGAGUCAAGUUGUGUAGAGCACGGAGUUCCUUCUUUAGUUCCGGUAUCCACGGGGUUUUCGUCAGCACUAGCCCCAGAAGGCAUACAUGAAAGUCACAUAGGUUGAGAAAACUGAGGAAGACAGAGGUUAAGUGACCUGUUCAGGAUCCCACAGCUGAGUUACCCCAGAUGCUGCCCCUGCCUACCAUUGGUCUCCACAGAAGCCAUGAUCUUGUAACCUGGGAGAUAAGCACGGGUUUGGCCAUCAC